ensembl:piRNA 21ur-676 ncRNA
UAAUCUGAGUCAACCAUGCUG